GGUGGAGGGGGUCCCCAAAUGGGGUCAGAGGUCUCCAAAUGGGGUCGGGAUCUCAAAUGGGGUCGGGGUCUCAAAUGGGGGUGGAGGGGGUCCCCAAAUGGGGUUGGGGGUUCCCAAAUGGGUUUGGGGUCUCAAAUGGGGGUGAAGGGGGUCCGCAAAUGGGGUCUGGGGUCCCCAAAAGGGUUUGGGGUGUCCCAAAUGGGGUCAGAGGUCUCCAAAUGGGUCGGGGUCUCAAAUGGGGUCAGGGUCUCAAAUGGGGGUGAAGGUGGUCCCCAAAUGGGGGUGAAGGGGGUCCCCAAAUGGGGUCGGGGGUUCCCAAAUGGGUUUGGGGUGUCCCAAAUGGGGUCAGGGUCUCAAAUGGGGGUAAAGGGGGUCCCCAAAUGGUGUCAGGGGUCCCCAAAUGGUUUCAG
ensembl:lncRNA